rnacentral:misc_RNA from 1 species
CGCACCUUGCACCUUCUGGUAUUCCGGAAGGUACACCUGUUUGAGUGUCAUUAAAUUCUCAACCUCGCACCUUGCUCUUUUGGGCCCGUGUGAUGAGGAUGGACCUUGGAGGUGUGUCGGAUGCUUUCGGGCGGUCGACUCCUCUCAAAGACAUUAGCUGGGGACUAUAGUACAUGUCUCCUACGGUGUGAUAGCUAUCUACGCUGUGGGUUAGGCUUGGAAAUCUCUGCUUAUAGUCGUCUCUCUUUUGAGACUAGCCUGCUUGUGGGCUAAUAAUGACCAAUGUGACCUCAAAUCAGGUGGGACUACCCGCUGAACUUAA